rnacentral:tRNA from 1 species
AUAGGAAUCGAACCCACAAUGUUCCGCUUACCGGGCAGAUGCCAUGUCCACUAGGCU